rnacentral:rRNA from 2 species
GCAAGUCGAGCGCAGGAACAGGCUGAUCCCUUCGGGGUGAUGCCUGUGGAAUGAGCGGCGGACGGGUGAGUAACACGUGGGCAACCUGCCUUACAGACUGGGAUAACUCCGGGAAACCGGGGCUAAUACCGGAUGAUCAGAAGAACCGCAUGGUUCUGCUGUAAAAGUUGGGACUUGUUCCUAACACUGUAAGAUGGGCCCGCGGCGCAUUAGCUAGUUGGUGAGGUAACGGCUCACCAAGGCGACGAUGCGUAGCCGACCUGAGAGGGUGAUCGGCCACACUGGAACUGAGACACGGUCCAGACUCCUACGGGAGGCAGCAGUAGGGAAUCAUCCGCAAUGGGCGAAAGCCUGACGGUGCAACGCCGCGUGAACGAUGAAGGUCUUCGGAUUGUAAAGUUCUGUUGUCAGGGAAGAACACGUGCCGUUCGAACAGGGCGGCACCUUGACGGUACCUGACCAGAAAGCCCCGGCUAACUACGUGCCAGCAGCCGCGGUAAUACGUAGGGGGCAAGCGUUGUCCGGAAUUAUUGGGCGUAAAGCGCGCGCAGGCGGUCUCUUAAGUCUGAUGUGAAAGCCCACGGCUCAACCGUGGAGGGUCAUUGGAAACUGGGAGACUUGAGUGUAGAGAGGAAAGUGGAAUUCCACGUGUAGCGGUGAAAUGCGUAGAUAUGUGGAGGACACCAGUGGCGAAGCGACUUUCUGGCCUAUAACUGACGCUGAGCGCGAAAGCGUGGAGCAAACAGGAUUAGAUACCCUGUAGUCCACGCCGUAAACGAUGAUGCUAGUGUAGGGUUUCGAUACCCUAGUGCGCAGUAACACAUAGCACUCCGCUGGGGAGUACGCGCAGCUGAACUCAAGAUUGACGGGGCCGCCAAGCAUGACAUGUGUAUCGAGCACCGAAGACUACAGGUCUUGACUCUCUGAAUCUGGAACAGACGUCUCGGACAAUGACAGGUGCAUGGUGUCACUCGUCGGAGAUGUUGGGUUAAGUCCCGCAACGAGCGCAACCCUUGACCUUAGUUGCCAGCAUUUAGUUGGGCACUCUAAGGUGACUGCCGGUGACAAACCGGAGGAAGGUGGGGAUGACGUCAAAUCAUCAUGCCCCUUAUGACCUGGGCUACACACGUGCUACAAUGGGUGGUACAAAGGGCAGCAAAGCCGCGAGGCCGAGCGAAUCCCAUAAAGCCACUCUCAGUUCGGAUUGCAGGCUGCAACUCGCCUGCAUGAAGCCGGAAUUGCUAGUAAUCGCGGAUCAGCAUGCCGCGGUGAAUACGUUCCCGGGCCUUGUACACACCGCCCGUCACACCACGAGAGCUUGUAACACCCGAAGUCGGUGAGGUAACCUUUG